rnacentral:rRNA from 1 species
AGUGAACGCUGGCGGUAGGCCUAACACAUGCAAGUCGAACGGCAGCACAGUAAGAGCUUGCUCUUACGGGUGGCGAGUGGCGGACGAGUGAGGAAUACAUCGGAAUCUACUUUUUCGUGGGGGAUAACGUAGGGAAACUUACGCUAAUACCGCAUACGACCUACGGGUGAAAGCAGGGGAUCUUCGGACCUUGCGCGAUUGAAUGAGCCGAUGUCGGAUUAGCUAGUUGGCGGGGUAAAGGCCCACCAAGGCGACGACCCGUAGCUGGUCUGAGAGGAUGAUCAGCCACACUGGAACUGAGACACGGUCCAGACUCCUACGGGAGGCAGCAGUGGGGAAUAUUGGACAAUGGGCGCAAGCCUGAUCCAGCCAUACCGCGUGGGUGAAGAAGGCCUUCGGGUUGUAAAGCCCUUUUGUUGGGAAAGAAAAGCAGCAGGUUAAUACCCCGCUGUUCUGACGGUACCCAAAGAAUAAGCACCGGCUAACUUCGUG